rnacentral:rRNA from 1 species
GACGAACGCUGGCGGCGUGCUUAACACAUGCAAGUCGAACGCUGAAGCACCAGCUUGCUGGUGUGGAUGAGUGGCGAACGGGUGAGUAAUACGUGAGUAACCUGCCCUUGACUCUGGGAUAAGCCCGGGAAACUGGGUCUAAUACUGGAUGCUACAUGUCACCGCAUGGUGGUGUGUGGAAAGGGUUUACUGGUCUUGGAUGGGCUCACGGCCUAUCAGCUUGUUGGUGAGGUAAUGGCUCACCAAGGCGACGACGGGUAGCCGGCCUGAGAGGGUGACCGGUGACACGGGGAGUGAGACACACCCGAGCAGCGGGGGGGAGGGAGAGGUGGGAAAUGAUACGAGGGAGGCAGAAGCGUGUUGCAGGGGGGAGGAGUGUGGGCUGCCGGCAUGCGGUGUGGAACCCUGUAGCAGCAGGGGAGGAGCAACGAGGGACAGUACCAGCAGAAGGAGCGCCGGCUACGGACGUGGCAGCGGCGGCGAUAAUAAGGGGAAGAGCACACGUCUGAUC